CCACUGCACCUCUGGCCGCUGGGAAGUCACAUUGAGGUCGCCGUUCUUCUGCCGCCGCCGCUGUCGGGGUUUCUGGUCAAUGGGUAUGGCGCUGUUGUUGCCGGAACCACCACCGGUGCUGCCGCUACUUGUUUCCCUUAAGUCUGAGUCGUUGUAGUUGCUGAGAAAGUGAUUUGGAGCUGAGGUUGUGGCUGCCGCAAAUUUCGGGUUGAGAGGAAAGGUUCCGUCGGUGCGUUUGGAUUAUAGUUUCAACAAUCGAGAACUAUAACCAGCUCUAUCUUGUCGCUACUCCGGUUCAAAUUCUACGCUCAUUCGUUCCAUUCCACUUCAAUCCUCCUUACCUUGAAUUUGGCACUCUGGGUUUGGUAUCUUCGGUCCCUAAGGACUACGUUGUGAGUAGGCUUUACAUUUAUGAUUGUUUGAUUGUGCAUCUACAAUUAUUUUGAUAUAUAUAUAUAUAUAUCUAUUAUGAUCUUUGAAUUAUAGCUAUAUUUGCUUUGAACGAUUUUGAAUUGAUUAAAAUAAUUGAUUUAUUAGAAUUAAAUAACUCAUUUUUAUGAAGUUUAUACUUUUAGAACUAUACAUGAGACUAUAUAUAUUUUUGAUGAAGUUUUGCAUUAUUCUAAAAUGUUUGAUUUUAUUUGAAUAUUUGUUUUUGAAGAAUUGAAGUAUUUGUUGACACUCACUUUAAAAAUUGUGAAAUAUAUUUGAAAUCUCUUAUGGUUGAAAAAGUAUGAUUGAGAAAAGAUUUAUGAUGAAAAAGUAUUAUCUGAUUUGAUUUGAUUUGAUAUGAUUUGAUUCGAUACCUUAUAUAUUUGAAAGAUCAAAUAUUUGUUGUAUUUGAAAUUGUAUAUUUUGAAUUGGUUUGGGAGGCUCGUAUUAGAAAACCGUAGUUAACGGCGGUUAUGACGUUAACUUAGAUGCAUCUAACUCAGACUCCAGCUAGCAGGGGUGUUGCUAGCCUAACGUGUAGGCCACACGUUAGAUCUGUUAUUCUGUUAGGACACACAAGAGGAAAGGGCUACCCAUAGAGGUGGAGCCGCCCAAGUGUGGACUUUUGAUUUGAUUUCUGUAUGAGAACUCCCUUAUUGAUUCACUUAUUAUUAUCAACUAUUACUUUCUAAUUAAAAUUACUUUAAUGAUAAUGUUUGUAUAGUUUCAUGUUAAUUAUAGAUGUAUUGUUUAGUCACUCAGUUGCAAAACUCACCCCGUUUUUCUAAAAAUAUUUUUCAAGAACAAAUAUUUGACUGUGUGAGACUUUCUAUUCAAGAGUAACAGUCUGCAAUGAGUACCUAUUCUUUGUCAAUUCCUAGAAGUAUAUGCUCCAUAUGUCACAGGUAGGACCAACCAUUCUUAGUUUAUUAUUUGUUGCUGAAUUGGUGACUGAUGUGACUGUAACUAGGUAAUCUUGGUUAUUAUCUUGUAAAAAUUUCUAUUGAAAGGCGGUAAUAAACCCUCUUAAUUGCUUGUGUUGUUGUUGGAGAUUAUAUGCCUGAUUUGUAGUUAUAUAUGGCGGAUUAAUAAAUGUUUUGAUUUCUUUGAUACGAUCAGGACUUGAUAAUUUCGAAUUGAAGUUUGUCAUGAUAAACUUGUGAUCUGUACAAUACUUUUGUGACACACUUGAGCAUCUGAAUUUUUUUCCCUUCAAAAUUAAUUAUUUUAUUGACUAGAAAAGUUGUUCCAACUCUCUCAGCAUGUUGUUCUAAAGUUUACUCAAUAUUAUCUCAUUGGUGGUCCAUUAUAUGAUGCUUAACGUAAAAGUUAGUUACUCUAGUCAGCACUAUAAGAUUUAUGUAAAAAUGUUUAGUAUUGCAUUCACAUUCUCAAUAAAAAAAUGUUUAAUGACCUUGCCUUGUUUAUUUUUCUUUUUUCUACAUUGUUUUCUUUUAAAAAAAAAAAAACCUAAUUAAUUUUUAACAUGUCAAAACUAUCAAGUAUUGUGCUUAUCAUAUAAUCUGUGUUAUGUGACGGUUUCUUAUAUAUAGGAUUAUCGUGUUUCUAUCUUUAGAGUGGCACAUUUUUUACAAUUUUCUGAUGAAUGUUCAUUUUGCUUUGCUUUAUUUAUGGGUUUAGCUUAUCUGUUCACAUGCCGUGUCUAAUUAUGUUUUUUUUUUCUUCCCUUUUCUCUAGUUUAAAUGGUUGUUGUACAUGCAAAACCUUUUUAUGUCUAUUAUUCAUACUCGUGAAUUUUUAUUUUGCUCUGCCCAAAUUGUUUGUGGAUUUGGCUUGUUUUUUUAUUUUUUUCCCUUAAAAUGCUCCUAGCCCGUGGUUUUAGUUGUGGUGGUACAUCUUUUUAUUUACCUCUAUGGCCUUUGCCCUUACAAAGUUACAAUUAUACUUUUGUACGUAUUUUGAAAGCUGUGUUGUGUUACUUUGUAGUGACACACCGACGAUUUCUUUGGUUUUUAAGUAAUGCCAAGCAUCAUAAAUGUUUUUGUCAAUAAACUAUUUUUGUUACUAUAUAAUUUUCUCAAAUGAUGGUUGUGAAAUGAAUUGAGUUAGCGAAUGGAUGUUUGAUUCAGAUCUAUCAUCGCUUAUUGGGUGCAGAUGCUUUAUAUGCUUCUGGUGAUUGUGUGAUUGCAGACUAUGUGCUCUAGUGUAAUAAAUUUAUCAGCUUGUCCUUUUACAGCCUGUUGAGCUUUGAUUCAUUUGUUUUAAUAGUGAAAGGCAGUGAGAUAAAUUAGUUUUGUACUUUUGGCUGGAUUAUCUUGGCUAAUAGGAUUGUUGUUUUUGUUAUGUAGUUUUGAAUUUUGGUGAUAUUUAGUAGCUGGCUUUGUAUUAAGUUACUCCUUCUUACUGAUGGUUUCAAAAAAAAAAGGGGGGUUUUCUUUUUCUGAUUUUGUUUUAUUUGCAGAAUCAAUAUUUUCUAUUACCCCAUGGUUUUGUUGAUUAUCUAACUAUGUCGCGGAUUCUACUUUGUUUGCCCAAUAAGGAUUUUAAUUGAUUAAAGAGUCUCUGCAUUGAGGGUUUUGUGUUAAGUUGUUCCUUUUUGGCCAAUUUUUUCCUUGGUAACAAUCACAGUGUAUUUUGAAUAUUGUCUAUUAGAAAUUCUGAAAAUCGACUGUUUUACUACUAGUAUUUUGCCUUAGUUCAUAGCCCACAUCUUAGGUUGACAUUUCUUCAUACGUUAAGGGUUUGAUUAUCAGUUGUACUAUUAUUCUUUAAAUUUGCACAUCAUGAUCUAAGUAAAAUUUAUUUUAAAUUGUUGUAUCAACCAUUUUUCUUCCAAAGAUAUAUAGGCUUUACAAAGUUCUUAACAUGAUCGAAUUUUUGAGGCAGUCACAUUGAUUCAUUAGUCUGCUGCUUAACUGAUCCUAUGUUGUAUGACUUUUUUUGAGACAUCACUUUGCUGGUUUCAAGUUGCUCAUGAUUGCAACUAAUUGAAAUAUGUUGUCGCCUAUCGAUAUUCUUGAGCUUCACUAAAUCCGUGGUUUUAUUACUCCUUAAGUGCGCUGCAUUGUAAUGGUGGUUGAGUAAUGAAAUUCAAAACUUUGCUAGAUUAGUGGUAUUGUUUCCCAACUAAUGGCAUUUUGUUUGUUUAUCAAUUGGUGUAUAUGUAGCACAUUUGUUAGUUUAUUAUUUGGGAUUGUCGAUUGCUAACCUAAAGGAUGGCUAGGGCCAAUGCUAUGUUUGAGUAAGCGAAACUAUUCAUACUAAUAUGCUGCUUUCACAAUGCCCUUAAAGAGCCUUGUAGAUCGAUUAAAUUCCUUCCUUCUGUUUAACCUUCCUACCUCUUAUCACUUGACAUUUAAGGUUAAUAUGCAUAAUAUGAUUUGAAAAUGUUUUGCUGGCUAUAUCUUGCAUGCUUGGUUUGAUGUGGUGGUUAUGUUUGUCUCUAAAUCUGGAAUCUGGCCAUGUAUAUUAUGCUUAAUUCUUCACCUUGCCUCUCUUUUUUCUCAUCCUUAUCCACCACAUAAUUGAACUCGAACUCUUGGAAUCUCAUAUGAUUGUGCUUUUUAAUUAUUGCUUUAUGUUUUGGGUGUAUUGUUGGAAUUUGUGUUACUCUAUAUGUUUUACACUUUUGGCUAUGUUAUUUGGACUCCACUUAGAGUUUGUAGUGUGCUUUUGAAAUUUUUCGUAUCAUUCUAAUUAUGCAAUUUGUUCUUUGUGAUUGAUGGUGCUUCAUAUCGAUUCCUUUUGUUACAUUGUAUAUGUGAAUAUUAAGAAAAUGUACAGCAUUUGAUCGUUGCAUAAUAUCUGCAAAAUAUUUUUCUUUAUGCAUUGGGUUCAAUUUGUAUCUGGAUAUAAUAUUAUAUAGUUAAAGUGCAUAAGUUCUUUCCUACAACUUUGCUCAGAUAGCUUGAUUUUUAGCCUUGUUCUUAUCUAUUUGUGCAAAUUAUUAAACUUAUGGUGUCAUGAUGUGGUCAUACUUCUUUCGGAUAAGGUUGUCUCAAUGUUCUUUUCUUUCCUUAUUCCUAAAUGCAUCAUUUCUUGCAUCAGGGUCUAGUUGUACGAAAUAGAUGUGACUUGUACUGCCGAAGAGGCAAAAUAAAUAGUAAGUUGGUUUGAAAUUCGGGGACCGAAUUUCUAAAGGAGGGAAGAAUGUAAUAGCUCAAAAAAAAAAAAAACAAAUUUGUGGGCCACUCUUCCUUUACUUUUUCCCUAACCCUAAUCACACAAAAACACUCUCUCUCAACCCUCAAUCCCUCACUAGCCGUCGAACUCCCAACCCCGCUCCUCACACACCCUCUUCGUAGAAAUACACACUCACGGACGCACUCCCCUCGCUCACCCUCACGCCGUCGCUCAUCCCCACACACACGCACCUACACUGACGCGGAGAAGAGAGGGAGGUCGCUGCUGCCGUUCAUGCCCAUCGUUGCCAACUGCACCGUCGCGGAGGAGCGUCUCUGUCGUCGCGAGCUGCAACCGCCGCCAUUGAAGCCACCCUCGCCGUCGUCCUUGAGCGCUAGUGAGAGAGAGAGCUCAAGGAAGAGAGGAACGCUGUCCCGCCAUGCACCGUCGUCACUGGAGCUGCACCGCCGCCGAAGACCCGCCGCCGUCCAUGGAGAGUCGUCGUCGUCUGGGUCGCUGCCGGGGGAAGAGAGCUUGCACAAGGGGUUGUUGGAGUGGCUCACCGCUGCCGCAAGAGCCACUGCACCUCUGGCCGCUGGGAAGUCACAUUGAGGUCGCCGUUCUUCUGCCGCCGCCGCUGUCGGGGUUUCUGGUCAAUGGGUAUGGUGCUGUUGUUGCCGGAACCACCACCGGUGCUGUCGCUACUUGUUUCCCUUAAGUCUGAGUCGUUGUAGUUGCUGAGAAAGUGAUUUGGAGCUGAGGUUGUGCCUGCCGCAAUUUCGGGUUGAGAGGAAAGGUUCCGUCGGUGCGUUUGGAUUAUAGUUUCAACAAUCGAGAACUAUAACCAGCUCUAUCUUGUCGCUACUCCGGUUCAAAUUCUACGCUCAUUCGUUCCAUUCCACUUCAAUCCUCCUUACCUUGAAUUUGGC
rnacentral:lncRNA from 1 species